rnacentral:rRNA from 1 species
CAUCAACAAAACUUGGGUGAGGGCCAGACUAGGGGUGGAAGGGAGGCGUAGGCAAGUCAGCUGGCGCCCAGGUGGUGCGGCGGAGGUCCAGCAGGGGCUGGGCGGUGGAGUGGGUAGUACGACAGUGGCGGCGGUCUCAGACUACGCGGAUACACAACAAGGGUGGAGGGACAGCCACAGUCCGAACGUUUACAGCCGGUUGAUGCCCUUAACUGUGUACAAUUGUUUCCAUCAACCCCCAAACUCCCCAAAACAACGGUGUAUACUUUGCUUGACUGGGAGCAAUGCAAGCAAUACGCCCUAUAUAGCUAGCAGCAGCCCACAAGCAGACUCGCACAAUUAUCGACACCUACCUCCGACACACAUCGCCGAGCGCAUAGGCAUGGCGAGCUCACCGACGUUGCAGUUCACGGUGCGCAGGAAGCCCGCAGUGCUGGUGGCGCCGGCGGGGCCGACGCCGCGGGAGCUAAAGCCGCUCUCGGACAUCGACGACCAGACCAGGACGGGCUCCGCUUCCACGUCCCAGUGA